rnacentral:lncRNA from 1 species
GCUAUAGCGCAGUUUGAUCCCUUGGAGACACUGUCAAGAUGAAGGCUGUGAUUCUGUAUCUCCUUUUAUUGGCAGCCUUCAAUGGCAUAGCUCUGUGUGGACUUCCACCUUACUUUGACCUGGGUCUUCAUUAUGGCUGCCCGCCUGUCUGCGCCGUGGGACAGCGACACGGCGCCACAUGCGGUCGAAACUGCACUUGUGUAGCGCACGCGCUGGAUCCAGGAGUGUUAAUGUGCGUGGGAAUCUACUCCCGGAAUCCGUACAAUACGCGUCGACGGAGACGGAUGAGGAUACGACAUUAGCGCGGACAUGUUAUUCAGAAAACUACCAAGCUUCCUCCAGGCGAUGCAUCACCGUGUGGCCCACGAGGAACUCCUUUAUACGCUUCAUUAUAAUUUGGUCAAGGGCCGCGACGAUAUGAAAAUCCAUGCUCCAGCAAAAGUAACAGUGAACAUCGUA